GCUACGGUGGCCUAGUUGUUAGAGCGUCCGACUCGGAUGCGGGAAGUCGUGGGUUCGAUCCCCGGUCGAGUCAUACCAACG